UACGCCACCGCUCUGUGCGUUUCUCACAGCCGCGCCCGAUCUCUCCGAUCCCCACGAGGUUCUCAUGCGUAUGGACCACCCCGGGACCCCCUCGCUCUCUUCUUCCGAUACCCUGCCUUGCCUCACGGGUCAGAGCUCGAAAUCGAGCGAAGCAACCCCAGUGAGCUCCGCCGUCCUGAGUAGUGCCGACGUGAAAUUCUCCCGCCUCGGAUCGCACCAAAUUGAGCUCCCCAGCUAAACCAAUCUCGCCAGAGCAUACCAUCGCCGCCGCAUGUUCAUUCGCCCACCAUCGUCUCUACAGGACACACCGGAACUCCCUGAGGACACCAAAGGACUCCCCAUGAACCUCCUUGUCUUCCAGCAUCUUCAUCGAUCACCUAUGGCCAUUAGGAGUAACAUCAUCGCCGAUCAGGCCCAUCGUCGUCUCCUCUGUUCUGGUGAGGAAUACCCCACUGAUUCGAACCCUAGUUUCAAAAGAACAUCAGCCAUCCAUUGCGACUUAAUCCAACGGCUCAGAAUGCUUCUUCACUAAACCGGUAUCCUCCACUCAGAGCAUGCCACAUGGCGCGAUAAUAGCAGCUGCGAUAGCAGCUCAAUUCACUAACAUGGCAGCAAUUUCAGCAUAUCAAAAACAUUGCCACGGUAGCAGUUUUUCACAGAUUCACACCAAAUUUCAUUAUGCUACAUAUUGAGAUCCAUGAAGGAAAUACGCCCUAGCGGCAAUAAUAAAGUUGUUAUUUAUA